rnacentral:lncRNA from 1 species
CAGGGUACUAGCUCUGUUCUACCACAAAUAAUACUAAAUUUUCCUUCUAAUUGGCAGGAGUCCAGAACCAAAACCCCUCAUCGCCAACUGUUUAGUCUGGAUAUAAGAAAGUGGAUAAAUUUUCUUCUCAAAAAAAUGAAAGUAUCUGAGAUUUAAAAGGCCACCUAAAGAAAUUCCAGAGUGUGGCACCUGAACUGGUCUGUUUGAACCCCUGCUCUGCUAGUUAACUGGCUUUGUGAACUUGGCAAAUAGCUUAACCCCUGUUUCUCAGUUUUCUCAUGUGUAAAAUGUGAAAGAGAAAAUAGUUUCUAUCUCCAGUUGGGUGUGAAGAUUAUUUCUGGGUGGUUUUUUUUUUUUUUUUUUGGCCACACCUCACAGCAUGUGGAAUCUUAGUUCUCCAACCAGGGAUUGAACACAAGUCCCUAUGUUGAAAGUGCAUAGUCUUCACCACUGGAUCGCCAGGGAAGUCCCUGAUAUGAAGAUUAAAUGAGAUCAUUCGUGUUUAGAGCAUUGGAUUUACAUUUAGUAAUUGCUCAAUAAAUACUUGUAUUAGUAAGAUUCUCC